rnacentral:misc_RNA from 1 species
GAUGAAGAACGUAGCGAAAUGCGAUAAGUAAUGCGAAUUGCAGAAUUCAGUGAGUCAUCGAAUCUUUGAACGCACAUUGCGCCCUGUGGUAUUCCGCAGGGCAUGCCUGUUCGAGCGUCAUUUCAACCCUCAAGCCUCGCUUGGUGUUGGGCCCUGCCCGCCACGGCCGGCCCUAAAGAUAGUGGCGGCGCCGCCUGGCCCUCAGCGUAGUACAGCUCUCGCUCCAGGGUCCGGCGGCAGCCUGCCAGAACCCCCCAACUCUGUGGUUGACCUCGGAUCAGGUAGGGAUACCCGCUGAACUUAAGCAUAUCAAUAAGCGGAGGA